GAAACCCGGUGAUCUAGCCAUGGGCAGGUUGAAGGUUGGGUAACACUAACUGGAGGACCGAACCGACUAAUGUUGAAAAAUUAGCGGAUGACUUGUGGCUGGGGGUGAAAGGCCAAUCAAACCGGGAGAUAGCUGGUUCUCCCCGAAAGCUAUUUAGGUAGCGCCUCGUGAAUUCAUCUCCGGGGGUAGAGCACUGUUUCGGCAAGGGGGUCAUCCCGACUUACCAACCCGAUGCAAACUGCGAAUACCGGAGAAUGUUAUCACGGGAGACACACGGCGGGUGCUAACGUCCGUCGUGAAGAGGGAAACAACCCAGACCGCCAGCUAAGGUCCCAAAGUCAUGGUUAAGUGGGAAACGAUGUGGGAAGGCCCAGACAGCCAGGAUGUUGGCUUAGAAGCAGCCAUCAUUUAAAGAAAGCGUAAUAGCUCACUGGUCGAGUCGGCCUGCGCGGAAGAUGUAACGGGGCUAAACCAUGCACCGAAGCUGCGGCAGCGACACUAUGUGUUGUUGGGUAGGGGAGCGUUCUGUAAGCCUGUGAAGGUGGCCUGUGAGGGUUGCUGGAGGUAUCAGAAGUGCGAAUGCUGACAUAAGUAACGAUAAAGCGGGUGAAAAGCCCGCUCGCCGGAAGACCAAGGGUUCCUGUCCAACGUUAAUCGGGGCAGGGUGAGUCGACCCCUAAGGCGAGGCCGAAAGGCGUAGUCGAUGGGAAACAGGUUAAUAUUCCUGUACUUGGUGUUACUGCGAAGGGGGGACGGAGAAGGCUAUGUUGGCCGGGCGACGGUUGUCCCGGUUUAAGCGUGUAGGCUGGUUUUCCAGGCAAAUCCGGAAAACCAAGGCUGAGGCGUGAUGACGAGGCACUACGGUGCUGAAGCGACAAAUGCCCUGCUUCCAGGAAAAGCCUCUAAGCAUCAGGUAACAUCAAAUCGUACCCCAAACCGACACAGGUGGUCAGGUAGAGAAUACCAAGGCGCUUGAGAGAACUCGGGUGAAGGAACUAGGCAAAAUGGUGCCGUAACUUCGGGAGAAGGCACGCUGAUAUGUAGGUGAAGCGACUUGCUCGUGGAGCUGAAAUCAGUCGAAGAUACCAGCUGGCUGCAACUGUUUAUUAAAAACACAGCACUGUGCAAACACGAAAGUGGACGUAUACGGUGUGACGCCUGCCCGGUGCCGGAAGGUUAAUUGAUGGGGUUAGCGGCAACGCGAAGCUCUUGAUCGAAGCCCCGGUAAACGGCGGCCGUAACUAUAACGGUCCUAAGGUAGCGAAAUUCCUUGUCGGGUAAGUUCCGACCUGCACGAAUGGCGUAAUGAUGGCCAGGCUGUCUCCACCCGAGACUCAGUGAAAUUGAACUCGCUGUGAAGAUGCAGUGUACCCGCGGCAAGACGGAAAGACCCCGUGAACCUUUACUAUAGCUUGACACUGAACAUUGAGCCUUGAUGUGUAGGAUAGGUGGGAGGCUUUGAAGUGUGGACGCCAGUCUGCAUGGAGCCGACCUUGAAAUACCACCCUUUAAUGUUUGAUGUUCUAACGUUGGCCCGUAAUCCGGGUUGCGGACAGUGUCUGGUGGGUAGUUUGACUGGGGCGGUCUCCUCCUAAAGAGUAACGGAGGAGCACGAAGGUUGGCUAAUCCUGGUCGGACAUCAGGAGGUUAGUGCAAUGGCAUAAGCCAGCUUGACUGCGAGCGUGACGGCGCGAGCAGGUGCGAAAGCAGGUCAUAGUGAUCCGGUGGUUCUGAAUGGAAGGGCCAUCGCUCAACGGAUAAAAGGUACUCCGGGGAUAACAGGCUGAUACCGCCCAAGAGUUCAUAUCGACGGCGGUGUUUGGCACCUCGAUGUCGGCUCAUCACAUCCUGGGGCUGAAGUAGGUCCCAAGGGUAUGGCUGUUCGCCAUUUAAAGUGGUACGCGAGCUGGGUUUAGAACGUCGUGAGACAGUUCGGUCCCUAUCUGCCGUGGGCGCUGGAGAACUGAGGGGGGCUGCUCCUAGUACGAGAGGACCGGAGUGGACGCAUCACUGGUGUUCGGGUUGUCAUGCCAAUGGCACUGCCCGGUAGCUAAAUGCGGAAGAGAUAAGUGCUGAAAGCAUCUAAGCACGAAACUUGCCCCGAGAUGAGUUCUCCCUGACUCCUUGAGGGUCCUGAAGGAACGUUGAAGACGACGAC
rnacentral:rRNA from 1 species